UAGCAGGGGGUGACAAACGUUGCUCGGAAUCGAUUGGGCGUAAAGCGCACGUAGGCGGUUCGUUAUGUCGGAUGUGAAAGCCCUUGGCUUAACCGAGGAAGUGCAUCCGAAACUGGCGAGCUAGAGUACUAAAGAGGAUCGCGGAAUUCCCGGUGUAGAGGUGAAAUUCGUAGAUAUCGGGAGGAACACCGGUGGCGAAGGCGGCGAUCUGGGUAGAUACUGACGCUGAGGUGCGAAAGCGUGGGGAGCAAACAGG
rnacentral:rRNA from 1 species